UAAAUGUUUGCUUGAACAAACAGUUUUAAACCUAAUUUGCCGUGGGUUUCUUGUGAUUGUGGCAGUGUUUGUGUCUUUAUAAAGUUCUGCUGGUGUCCUUUAAUUUGGGGAUUGGAGAGUUUGUAAUUCGGCUUGGAUUUUUUAGAAUCAAUCCCCUGUCCACAUCAUAAUGUAACGUUACAACAUGUCUGUACAUGUGGCCUGUGGUGUCACUUUAUGCUACAUCCGGGUAAUCUGGAAGAAGGGGAUUCCCCUAGCCCUGGAAUUUCCAGUGAUGUCAUCACGAAACUAAAAACAAACAUGCAGCUGACAGUGGUGUAGAAGUUUACCGGAUGGUCCAGAAUGGAACUUAUCUGAAGAAAAGGAAGGAAUGGAUCUGAAGAAAAGGAAGGAAUGGGUAAUAUGGCAGGCUGCAGCAGAUGGUGAUACAGUCAGAGUGAAACAGAUGUUAGAGGAGGGAGUCAAUCCUAAUGCUGC